AUAUCUAAACGGGGAAAUUCAAUACUGUAUAUUCUGUAUAUGGUGUGCACUUUUCCCUUAGUAAGACGUUGUGAUCCAUUAGGAAUCGAGAGUGCUUUAUGUGCUCUCAGUAGGUUGCCAAUAGGCCGAUAUCAAAGUUCACAUUGACAAAUGGCACAAUCUUCUGGUUGGGUGUAUUGUCUUGUGAGUGUGUCGUGUUCUGAUGCAACUGCCUGAUGGAUAUUAAAGGCCAUGCUAUCGAUACUUGUAUCGCCCGUUUUC
rnacentral:rRNA from 1 species